UGGAAAUCGGACGGAUCGGAUCGGAAAUAGCCCUUUCGGAAAAUUUCCGAUUUUUUUCGGAACUGUGAUAUAGGAUCCGAUUCCGAUUCCGAUUUUUUCGGAAAUUUCGGAAAAUCGGAAAUAUUCGGAAUUACUCGUUUUCGGAAAUUUUCGGAAAAUCUUCGGAAUAUUUGGAAUUCGUAAAUCGAGAACUGAAGACAGAACCCCCAAAGUUGUACAAAAAAUUGAAAAAAAACGAAAAAAAUCGAAGCAAGAUCCACGAUUCAUAUGUAAAAAAACAAGCACCCCCAAGGCUGUACAAAAAAUUGAAAAAAAACGAAAAAAUCGAAGCAAGAUCUACGAUUCAUAUGUAAAAAACAAACAGUUUAUCUGAUGUAAAUCAUAUAAAUAAUUUCUGAAAUAAUUAAAAAAACACAAGAUUUGCAGCGAAGUAGAGAAAUUGAUGGAGGAGAAAGUCGAGAUCUGUAGCUUCGCAAGGAUCGGAGAAGAAGAAAAACAGAACGGAUCGGAAAUUAGAUAAGUGGAGAUCUGCAUCUUCGGAUGGAGAAAGUCAAUAUGCGCCG
rnacentral:lncRNA from 1 species